GAUGAACGCUGGCGGCGUGCCUAAUACAUGCAAGUCGAGCGAACAGAUGAGGAGCUUGCUCCUCUGACGUUAGCGGCGGACGGGUGAGUAACACGUGGAUAACCUACCUAUAAGACUGGGAUAAUUUCGGGAAACCGGAGCUAAUACCGGAUAAUAUAUUGAACCGCAUGGUUCAAUAGUGAAAGACGGUUUUGCUGUAACUUAUAGAUGGAUCCGCGCCGCAUUAGCUAGUUGGUAAGGUAACGGCUUACCAAGGCAACGAUGCGUAGCUGACCUGAGAGGGUGAUCGGCCACACUGGAACUGAGACACGGUCCAGACUCCUACGGGAGGCAGCAGUAGGGAAUCUUCCGCAAUGGGCGAAAGCUUGACGGAGCAACGCCGCGUGAGUGAUGAAGGUCUUCGGAUCGUAAAACUCUGUUAUUAGGGAAGAACAAAUGUGUAAGUAACUAUGCACGUCUUGACGGUACCUAAUCAGAAAGCCACGGCUAACUACGUG
rnacentral:rRNA from 1 species